CAGUAGCCGCGGUAACACGAAGGGGGCUAGCGUUGUUCGGAUUUACUGGGCGUAAAGCGCACGUAGGCGGACUUUUAAGUCAGGGGUGAAAUCCCGGGGCUCAACCCCGGAACUGCCUUUGAUACUGGGGGUCUUGAGUUCGAGAGAGGUGAGUGGAAUUGCGAGUGUAGAGGUGAAAUUCGUAGAUAUUCGCAAGAACACCGGUGGCGAAGGCGGCUCACUGGUCCGGAACUGACGCUGAGGCACGACAGCGUGGGGAGCAAACAGGAUUAGAUACCCGUGUAGUCCCUGUCUCUUAUAC
rnacentral:rRNA from 1 species